UACGAAGGGGGCGAGCGUUGUUCGGAAUUACUGGGCGUAAAGGGCGCGUAGGCGGCCGAUCAAGUCAGAUGUGAAAGUCUUGGGCUUAACCUGGGGACUGCAUUUGAUACUGAUUGGCUUGAAUUCGGGAGAGGAUAGCGGAAUUCCCAGUGUAGAGGUGAAAUUCGUAGAUAUUGGGAAGAACACCGGUGGCGAAGGCGGCUAUCUGGACCGACAUUGACGCUGAGGCGCGAAAGCGUGGGGAGCAAACAGG
rnacentral:rRNA from 1 species